rnacentral:rRNA from 1 species
UACGAAGGGUGCAAGCGUUGCUCGGAAUUAUUGGGCGUAAAGGGUAGGUAGGUGGUGACAUUUGUCUGGGGUGAAAUCCCUGAGCUUAACUCAGGAAGUGCCUUGGAAACGGUGUCACUAGAGUACUGGAGAGGUUCGCAGAAUUCUUGGUGUAGCGGUGAAAUGCGUAGAGAUCAAGAGGAAUACCAGAGGCGAAGGCGGCGAACUGGACAGUAACUGACACUAAAACUACGAAAGCGUGGGGAGCAAACAAGG